rnacentral:rRNA from 1 species
CGCCCGAUCGGACCCCGGACGUGAAGUCGACGAUGGUCGGUGGGCUGGUUUUGGUAAGCAGAACGGGCGAUUCGGGAUGAACCGGAAGCGGGGAGAAAGGGCCCGAGAUUGCGUCGACGCGGAUCCCGAAAAGGGCGUCGAUCCGUCGCGACAGCGGGACGGUGGUCAUGGAAGUCGAAAAUCCGCUAAGAAGCGUGUAAAAACGUACCCGCCCAACGGAUCGGCCCCGAAAAUUGAUGGCGCUCGAACGCAACCCUCGAACCCCGCCGACGGAGGCUAGUGGAGGCCCCGUCGAGUAGGCGGACGCGCGGGUCGCUUCGACGCUCCCGCGCGAGCGGGGGCGGAGCGGCCCGUGGUGCAGAUCUUGGUGGUAGUAGCGAUCACCCAGGCGAGAACCCUGAGGGCCGAAGUGGAGAAGGGUUUCUCGAGAACGGCACUCGCUCGAGAGUUAGUCGAUCCUAAGCUGCCGGCGGCAGCCACGAAACGGUCGAUCGGGCGCGAGCCCGGCAGCCACGACCGGGCAGCGAAAGGGAAUUGGGAACCUCCUUCCCAAACCCGGAACCGGAACGAGGGC